UACGUAGGGUGCGAGCGUUGUCCGGAUUUAUUGGGCGUAAAGAGCUCGUAGGCGGUUUGUCGCGUCGGAUGUGAAAACCCAGGGCUUAACCCUGGGCCUGCAUUCGAUACGGGCAGACUAGAGUUCGGUAGGGGAGACUGGAAUUCCUGGUGUAGCGGUGAAAUGCGCAGAUAUCAGGAGGAACACCGGUGGCGAAGGCGGGUCUCUGGGCCGAUACUGACGCUGAGGAGCGAAAGCGUGGGGAGCGAACAGG
rnacentral:rRNA from 1 species